UACGGAGGGUGCAAGCGUUAAUCGGAAUUACUGGGCGUAAAGCGCACGCAGGCGGCUGAGUCAGUCGAUUGUGAAAGCCCUGGGCUUAACCUGGGAAUUGCAGUCGAUACUACUCAGCUAGAGUAUGGGAGAGGGCAGUGGAAUUCCCGGUGUAGCGGUGAAAUGCGUAGAUAUCGGGAGGAACAUCAGUGGCGAAGGCGGCUGCCUGGCCCAAUACUGACACUCAGAUGCGACAGCGUGGGGAGCAAACAGG
rnacentral:rRNA from 1 species